rnacentral:snRNA from 1 species
ACUGCUUCUUGGCCUUUUGGCUAAGAUCAAGUAUAGAUGGAAAGUGAAUUUUUUCCGGUUUUUUUUUUUUUUUUUUUUUUUUUUUGAGAAGGAGUCUCACUUUGUCACCCAGGCUGGAGUGCAGUGGCACAAUCUCGGCUCACUGCAACCUCCACCUC